rnacentral:rRNA from 1 species
ACUCCCUACGGGGCGCAGCAGUGGGGAAUAUUGCACAAUGGGGGAAACCCUGAUGCAGCAACGCCGCGUGAGUGAAGAAGUAUUUCGGUAUGUAAAGCUCGAUCAGCAGGGAAGAAAAUGACGGUACCUGAGUAAGAAGCCCCGGCUAACUACGUGCCAGCAGCCGCGGUAAUACGUAGGGGGCAAGCGUUAUCCGGAUUUACUGGGUGUAAAGGGAGCGUAGACGGCGAUGCAAGACUGAAGUGAAAGCACGGGGCUCAACCCCGGGAAUGCUUUGGAAACUGUAUGGCAGGAGUGCUGGAGAG